GAAAUGCUUUCUUCACUUCCUCAUUACUUACUAGCUACAGAACUUCCUUGUUAAUAACUUCUAUCAGGAACAAAGACAGAAACAACUAUGCAGCCCAUACCAGAAGAUUUAAAGACACUUAUUUCAGACUUGGAGACCUUUCUCUCUGACGUGCUCAAGGGGGAGAAUUUAAGUAAGAAGGCAAAAGAGAAGAAGGAUGCAUUCAUCAAGAGAAUUAAAGAGGUGAAAUCAAGUUAUCCUCAAGAUUUUCAAGAAAAACGUGAUGCAGAGGACUCUGAUAAUUAUGAAGAACCCGAUGGCAGCGACAGUAUCUCUGAGAGAGCUGACAAAGACGAGGAAUCCUGCUACGAUGGAGCACAGCAGUCUCCAGCAGUGGCAGCUCAGGAUCUCCCUUCAGUCUUCAAGGCAGGAUACCUGGAGAAACGUAGGAAAGACCACAGCUUCUUCGGCACCGAGUGGCAGAAGCGCUGGUGUGCUCUGAGCAACCACACGUUCUACUACUACGGGAGUGAAAGGGACAAACAGCAGAAAGGCGAAUUUGCUAUAGAUGGCUACACAGUCAAGAUGAAUAAUACCCUCCGAAAAGAUGCCAAGAAAGAUUGCUGUUUUGAAAUAUCAGCUCCUGACAAACGCAUCUAUCAGUUUACUGCAGCCUCCCAGAAAGAUGCAGAAGACUGGGUUGAGCAGAUCCAGUUUGUGCUGAAAGACAUGGAGUCGGGCAUUAUUCCUGAGGACGAAGACGUGGAUCCCUAUGAUGACAUUGGGAUCGCGGAGCAACAAGCUCCUAGUGCUGCGGAGCCCAUUGAUGAAGAUAUCUACGAGGAACUUCCAGAGGAAGACCUGCCUAAUCCUCCUAAGAAAACACCAGAGGUUUCAAGCAAGCCUGUUGUUUCAAACGUGACAGUGAACAAGAGCACAGACUACAAGAGCUACUACCAGGGGCUGUGGGACUGCACGGGGGACCAGCCGGACGAGCUGUCCUUCAAGCGAGGGGACGCCAUCUACAUCCUCAGCAAGGAGUACCAGAGUUUCGGAUGGUGGGUUGGAGAGGCGAAGGGCUGUAUCGGCAUCGUGCCCAAAGCGUAUUUAACAGAGAUGUACGAUAUAUAAGGCAGCUCCGAGUGACGUCAGGAGUGGAGCCGCCCGGGUCUGGACAGGGGCUGCUGGGACGUCCUGCCUCCUGAGCCGGGCCUCAUCACACCACACGUCCGCUGUGAGGUUUCUGCACUGCACCACUUAUCUUCCCCAGAGAAAGGGACGGUACUAUUCCUGUAACAUGUUGCUCAUGAAAUUAAUUCAAAUGCAUCAGCUAUCAAUCUUGAUGAGCUCAAGCAGAGCCGGUUAGCUCGAAAGCAUCAGCCUGCAUAUAAUCCGGAUUUUAUCUCUUUACAAGUAUUGUUUUUCAGGUCAUAUUGAAAUGAGAUACAGUAAAAUUUGCAUCUUUUGGCAUAAUAUAUAAAAAUAAUUUCUAUUUAUUUUUGAAUGCUUGCUAAACAGAUAAUUUAGUGCCAUUUGUUCUUUAAACCAUUUUGUUUUCACUCCAGCUUCUUCUUACAGAGUAUCUCUCCAGUGUCUUUUUAAAAUAAAGCUUCUUGUUGGAUUCUGUGAACUGGCUGCUAAUGAUUUGCUCGGCAAGUGAUUUUUUUAUCAAGAAACAGUGUAAAGGAACAGUGUGUGACUGUGAGUGACGAUCUCGGGUGUCCAUGUGCUGCAUCAGCUUUUUGAAACAACAGAAUUCAACACUAGGUGGCAGCAGAGGUCCAAUCCUGAUAUGGGUUUCUCCUCCUCUCAGUGACCCUUCCCAGCCUGCUUUGUGUCUGUCCUGCUCAGCCAGGAGGCGGGGUGUCAGUCAGGGAAAAUAUCAUGCGGGCUAAAAUCCUUUUUAAUCGUUUUCUUAUAUUACACAGCUCGGUUGUGAGUGACACAGUUUGACUCUUCUUUUCUCAGCUUGGUUUUUAGCUUCUCAGAUAAAUGAGCCAUAGCUCUCUUAAGGAUUUUACUUUUUAAUAUGGUAUAUUUGAUAUAUAAAAUUAACUUUAUAUAGCACAAAUAUAAUAGCAGUACAAUAAUAAAUAAAGGUUCAGAAAGCCCCUAAAUUAAAGUAAUUUGAUGUUUAGUUCACAUUAUCACACACAUAGUCCUCAGAGUUAAAUUACACUUUUAAAGACCUAUUUCCACAUAAAAUCAUUUAAUAUAAUGUUGAUAUUAUACAGUAUAUACAAAACUUUAAUGACAAAAACAAAGAAGUCAGGGGGGCAUCCUGUUUUUAUAUUUUCGCUUGUCUGUCCAACAACAGGUUUUGACUCAAUGGUUAAACACAUCCUUUAAGAAUCGUUAUUUGAAAAGUUGCACAAUUUCCUUACUCAAAAGUAACAUUAAUAUAUAUUUUGUUUCAAAUCAUAAUUUAUUCAGAAGACUUCAAAAAAUACAUACCUGAAGCACAUGACUGCGUUUCAUUUCAUUUACCAGCAUUUCUGUGAUGGUGUAUUUGACAACGUCCACAGUCAUUUACGAACUGUUUCAUUCCAUUAGCUGGUGUAUAAUAGUGCACAUAGUAAUUACACACAUAUCCAGACUGAGCAAGCAACCUAAAUGGAAACUAUAUUAGAAAGAUUAAAUUUGAUAGUCCUGUGGUAUUAAACCAAUAAAUUGAAAUUAAAAUGAAAUAUAUAUAUAUUAUCAGCCUUGGUACCUCUGAACAAGGUAUUGUUAAUGUUUUUGUUUAUUGCAUAAUAAUUCCUUUUAUUCCUUCCACAUAAAUCUGUGCCUUUUUCCACCAUUGUGUUUUAAGGAAUGAUUGUAGAGAUAAUUAUAACGGAAUUAAGUCAAUAAUGAAUCGCUUUCCACCUUGUUAUUUUUGUGUACUCAGAAUCUGUCACUAAAUCUUGUAAUAAUGUUCCACCCUGCAAAUUUUUAAGGUUCAAAUAAAGUUUAAUUGUUUGCAAACUGUUAAAAUGCUAAUAAUUCAACAGCCUGCUGUGUAACUAAUGAAAUUACUUUAUGAUUAAUUUGAAAAAUAGAGAGUUGAUUGUAGUAAUUAAACAAAACAAGGUGAAGUAAAUGAUUCUAAUGCCAUCUGGCCCCUAAACUGAACCAAAAUAAAUUAAAUGGUGCCAUCAAGUAAAUUUAUUUAGGGAAAUAAAGAUAUUGUAAUAGAAUCAUUGUAGGGAUUGUGAGGAUGUUGUGAAUUACCAGAGGAGUCAUUUGGGGGGAGUUUAGACUAGAUUUCCUGUUUUGUGAUUUGGAAUAUCGUUGUUCAUUCCAUAGGUAACACAUUGAGCACACGUUUUAAUCGCUGUGUUGCAAUGGUUUUGUUUUAAUAUAUUACUUUUUCAUUUGAAGGUGGUGCGGUAUUAUUUUGGGGGGUAUUCCUUUUACCUCUGUCCUCAAAGAUCAACGAAAGGGAACUGUUUGUUUUUAUCUCUUAAUGUUAUACUCAAACGGUGUCUUCUUACGCAGCAAAAAGAGAACAAUUUGAUAAACUUGAGUUUUUUAUGUGCUUGUGAAAUUGUUUGUUUAAAGGAUUAACUCAGAAUAAUAAACAACUGGCACUGUAGAACACACUUUUAAACUACGUACUUUGAAAGACAUUAAAAAAAUUGAAGUGAAAUGCAUGUCUUACCAAGAACAAAGCACUAUUAAUGUGUUUGCUUGUGGCUCUUAACGAUCUAAAUAUUUCAAAACCUGUGCCUUUAAGAAGGCUUUUGCUGAAAAUACAGAGCUGUCAUUAAGUCGUCCUGGUCUGCACAAUCCAAAAUACCCCCUAGCUCUAUUCACAAUCAGCUCCUUCAUGAUGACAAGUCAGUGCAGAAGGAGUUAAAUGUAAAUUGUGUAACAAAUUGGCUAUAUAAUGUGGCACAAUAUUCCGAAAUGAAGUGUAACAUAUUUAGUAGAAAAUAAAUUGUUAGCUUCAGAACAGUGUGUUAUGCGUUCAAUCAGUUUGCAUGUCUUCUCUUCAAAACUCUUCAUCAUCUUGACAAGAGCCAUUUAUAUUGUUAUUAUGAUUUUACAUCUUUUCAGCCCAAGACAGGAAAGUGUCUUUGGUAUUACUUCUUUGUUGUCAGUGUUGAACACAACAAACAGGCAGUAGUGUGCUUCGAUUUCAGCCACUUCUGUUCCUCUUUGAAAGCGUUCAGUCUUUAAACCUAUUGAACUGACCUUCCUUGUGUUAAUUUCAUUCUUCUCCCACUUUUUUGAAAUUAUGCAUUAAAUAAUUAUCAUAUAUUUGAUCAAUUGUGAAUUAGACUGCAUUUAUAUUUAUACAAGGAAAAGCUGAAUUUCUGUAGGAGACGUAUAAUAGUAAUAAUCUUCAUCGGGCAGACCACUUAGCAAGCUUAUUUUAGAUGUUGAAGUGCGAGGCUUUUUCUAGAACAUAAGGCAAAGCAGACAAGUGAGGAAACAUGCACACAGUGAGCACACAAUCUACCAGAGAGGCCCUCAGAAUGAUCCUGUUAAGCCUGAGUCACGUCACUGACAUCUGCAGCUGUGACUGACAUUAUGGGUGACACGACACCCUUUGUUCUCUGUAAUAACUUGUAAAUAUAUCAUGAGCAUGUGUGGUAAUUCCUAUUGUACGUAUUGUGUGCAAUUACUUUAGAUUAACGCGAUUAUAUAAAUAUACACAUAUUUGCACUGCAGGAUUUUGAAGCCUUGUGUGUACUGUAUGUGUGUGUGUGUGGAGGUGAGUGUAUUUGUUUUCAGACAAAUGAUUCCUUUUCUGCCGAUCCUUCCCUUCAUUUGUCUUUUUAAUGAACUUACUGUCCUGCCCGACAAUCCGUCUACUGCCAAUAACUGUACGGGAGGUGAUUUAACCGCAGUGACUCGGAAGUGUAAACAUCUAAUUAUUACACUUAAAUUGUCAAUAACAUCUCGGUGAGACAUGUCCGCACCUCUGUUCAUAAAGAAACACUAGACUAUAUCUAUAGUAUAGCGCUCUGCAGAAAUGCGAAGAGAUGUUCUGAAGCGCUCUCCGUAUUUCACUCGGAGAGGCACAGCAGAUUGGGUUCUAGAAAUGCAAUGAAAUCGUCAGCACGGCAUUAAGUGGAAAAUUAGAGCCAGAGAAGCCGGGGAACAAGGCGGGAGAGGAGUGGAGUGAUAUUAAACAGCCCGCUGUGCUGCUGGUGGAGGCUCUCCUGUUCAUUUGUAUUCUGCAGAGCGCUCAGUAACCCUGCGCAUCCCCACGGCUCCAGCUUGCGGUGCUGAUCAUCUGUUCCUCCUGCGGGGGGGCCUGCUGAUGAGCGCCGCGGAUUUAACCCCUCAGUGCCAGGGGUGUCCGCUCCAGGCCAGGGCCCGCCACCGGAACCCGGAGCUCUCACCUUAGGCCCGUUUUUAUUUUCAUGCGCACGCCACAUGCAGAAUGUUUGUCCGAAGCUUGAGUAGAAAAGGCUCCUGCGUGUUGUUUAGAGAAGCUUCAGUCCUGGAGGUGUGAACUCCAGGGCCUUCACUUCCUCCUUGUGCAAUCACAUCCAGAAGAGGUGUUUGCGAAGAUGGGUUUAGCAGAACCUUCCUGACUGCUUAGACGGCGAGGAUGGAGGAGAGUGUAAAACACAAAAACCUCCAUCCUGCGCUGCUUGGCUGAAGUAAUCAGCACAAAAUUGAUUUGGGAGAGGGAGCUCGGUUUGUGCCAAACAGAUGGCACACCCUGCUGUGUCUUUGAUUGAAAAAGAAAGGUAACAUUUGCAGCGCCGUCACAGAGAUGGUGAUCAGCUAAACAAAUUGGUCUCCAGCGCGCAGCUUUGCUGGAUCGAGUCACGCUGCAGGGAAGAGGAAGUUUCUUUUCCGGGAACUUGGGGACAUUUGCUGCCCCUUGGAUAAGACAAAAUAAACUGCUGACAAAUUCAGGAACUAUUUGUCUGCCAAUUUGUGAUGUUUCGUUUUCUAAAAAUUUAAUUCUAUCCAUAUCUAGAUACUUAUUCGUCCAUUUUCCUGUCUUGGUCUUGUGUAACGUAUCGCGUGUGAAAGGCCGAGAUGCGGAGACGCGAGUCCGCGUGCCAUUGGUGCAGCCGGAGACGUCCUGGAGCCCAGACAAGGCAGAGUGACGAUGGGCUCUGCUUGUCUCAGCUGGCGGCCUGAUUCCGCUUCAGUAAAGACAAGCAGCUGACCUGAACGAGCCCCGAAUGUGGACUGUCACAGCCCUCGAGAUUCAUCGACUACAUUAGUUUGCUUUACAGAAUGAACACCGAUCUUCUGUCUCGUCCUGUAAAACGCCGGCUGUUCUGUACCUGAGCUGUGGGGGGAACUUGUGCAGCUCAGGCUGGGGGCUGUGUCAUGACCUAGGAUCAGGCUGGAAGGCCAGGCUUUGGUCAAGGCUGAGAGCAAGUGACCUCAUCUGACUUGAACAGCCCACACUGGAGGGACAAUAGGAGCACUUAGAAAUUGCAAUUAGCAUAAAGCAGCUGUUGGCAUGCCAUCUGGAUCUGCACUGACUAUUCCAGCUGAGAUGAAGGGCCUGAUGAAAAGUCUACUUAAGGAAGGAAAACUGUGUUUGAUGAGCAGAGGUAAAGCAGAAACAUACCCAGGGCACAUGUUGGCGGCAAACAGACAGAGGCCGUCCUCAGAGCUCCGGAUUAAUGUGGUGAUGUAGCUAAUUGCAAAAGAGGACUAAUGAGCUGCCUGGGCUUACAGUUUGGCUGACAAGAAAAAUCCAUAACGGGUAGAAAAGCAAAAAGUUAAUGGAUGACAGAAAGCACUUGCCUGCUUUGCUUUGCUUGUUUGUGUACGGUGCAGGGAGGAGCCAGACCAGCUUGUGGCCGAGCAGGAAGAUGGCACAGGGCAAGAACCACCGUGAACGCGCUGAAGGCCCCGGGUUCGAGGCACUCAGCAGGGGUUCAGGGACCACCAGAGGAGAAGGGAAGGACUUCAUUUGUCAAGUCCUUGCGUUCCGGGGAAACUCUCGAGAUCCGAGUGAAGAUUUUGCAGGAAAGUGCAUGUUGCAUUUAAUUGGAAUUAUCACUAUUCCCGCUGCAGGUAGCAUUACAAUUAAUCAUUGUGAUGUUGUUAAUGAAUAUUUCUUGUACACCGUCUCUGCCGUGAGUGCUUUAGUAAAAUUCUAAAGCACCGCACAUAAAUUUCAUGCCUUCAAACUCUGAAGUCACUAGGGUUCUGAAUCUACUCCAUUUCUCUACAAAACUCUGCCUUUGCUUAUUAUACCAGCUUACUUACCAACGCUUUCAAACAGCAGGACCAAGGUGAAGAUGUUCUGAAGAUUCGAUGGAGACAACACUGUCGCCAAGUUUGUAAAACAAAUAUCCAAAACACUGACGGCAAAAUCUUCUCCUUCGCAGUGGCUCUGACAUUGUCAGCGAUAUCUGAGCUCAUGAGUUCAUGGCAGCUUCGCUCGAGCUCUCACACUGUCACACAAUCACUAAACAAAGGCUAAAAAUAUUUAAAUAUUUAAAAGAAUAUUUAAAAGUGCCAAGCGCCAAUUGCACCUGCUAAUGAUUUUUCCUCCUGCACUGUAGUGAGACAAGGGAUUAAUGUCAUUAAAAAAGCUAUUAAACUUUUAAAAGACUAUCUUUGAGAUAUAGAGGUUUUAUCCACACCAAGUGGGAUGAUCGGCUAUCAAAAAGUGCCUAAGGUUAGACUUGAAAAUGCUAAUGCUUUAAUGAAAACUUCAAUUAAUUCAAGAAUUAAUUUUAUAUUCCGCGCAACAUCUAAGGGUGUUUAAAAGUGAUUAUAAAUGUUUCAUCAACUUCUUGCAAAUAUGUUGCUUUUGACAAAUCACAUUACUCUCUGGGUGACAGGAGCCCAGCUGACUCCACUGUGCUCAAUUAGGCUGUGGGCUUGCGGUAAUGCAUAUUUUAAUCUGCCCUGCGGUGUCACAUCAUCUCACUCUGCAGUGGCAAUAAGCCACGUGCCCUAUUAACUACUUCAGGUCCCUUCCUCUGGUCACCACGUGAGACCUGGCUUUUCAGAUUUCUCUACCCUACAGCCCUAACUUUUCACUUAUUGUAAACCAGAACGGUCUUAUUACUGAUGGACAACAAAUCUUUAUCUGCCACACAGUGCUCUGAGCCACACAGUUAUCUACAGGACCCGCUGCUGACCCCAGAGGAAACGGCACACAGAGUGAUUGCAAGGAAAGAACUGCUGUUUUGGAAACACAGCAGCGAUAAGUAUAAUGACACUGACGUGGAUUGAUCUUGUAAUGAUAAAACCUUCAGUGAGAAGAAAUGUCCUUGUUUUAUGAUGGAAGUCUCAUUGUUACUCCCAUUCCAGAAUGAGGACGGGCUCAUGACUGACGGGCACUUGUACAGCAGCUCUCGGCCCAGACAAGCCAGAGACCCGCAGGUGCACAGAGCUGUGGAGGGCAGGCAGCCCUUCCCCUGGUGUGCAAUGAAUCAUGGGAGAACUCAGGCCAGCCCACACCAUUGGACACUCCUGACUUUCUGUGGUCUAAGGAAAAAAAAUGACUGAUGUUUUCUGUAGUUCACUUAGCCCGUUCUCUUUGAUGUGUUUAUUGAAUGCUAUUGAAUGUUAUUGAAAUUCAAGAAUUCAUUGUAUGUUCUGAGCUAUAUCACCAAUGUCAGGAUGCAAAAAUUAAACUAAACAAGAAACAUGGGGCAAUAGGUCUAUCCCAAUCACAGAAGGAAAUAACUGAAACAAACACAUCUAUUUUUACUUAAAAAAGGUCCAGGAACUACAAGUUAGUUUGCAGUAAGGGUUAAAUGCAAGCUAUAGAAACUAAAAAAAGCUAUGUUUAAAAACGAGGUGAAAAAGUAGAUUAAUAGGCAUCUCUUUUACACAAUGUUUGUUUUUUUAAUUCCCAAGCAAUAAAUAUUUGGUUAAUA